rnacentral:rRNA from 1 species
AGAGAGAGACAUGCGUGCAUAUCAAUAAGCGGAGGAAAAGAAACUAACUAGGAUUCCCUCAGUAACGGCGAGUGAAGCGGGAAGAGCUCAAAUUUGAAAUCUUCAAGGUUCUACCUUGACGAAUUGUAGUUUAAAGAAGUGUUUUCUGUUGGAGUUUUGGUAAAAGUUCUUUGGAAUAGGACAUCAUAGAGGGUGAGAAUCCCGUAUUUGACCAUUAUUUCCAGCUUUGUGAUACACUUUCAAAGAGUCGGAUUGUUUGGGAAUGCAGUCCAAAAUGGGUGGUAAAUUUCAUCUAAAGCUAAAUAUUGGCGAGAGACCGAUAGCGAACAAGUACCGUGAGGGAAAGAUGAAAAGAACUUUGAAAAGAGAGUUAAACAGUACGUGAAAUUGUCAAAAGGGAAGCGUUUGACACCAGUGUUGUUUUCUCGAAAAUCAAUUAAAAAAGGCAGGAUUUUGUGUUGUAUUGACUUUAUCAGCUUUCUGCACUCUUUUCUUGUCUUUUUUAAUGCACUUUUCGUUUAACAAGUCAACAUCAAUUUCUUUUGUUGUAAAAGGGUCAUUGGAAGGUGGCUUUCUUUUCGGAGAAAGUGUUUAUAGGCCUUUGGCCUCUGCAAUCGGAGAGAUUGAGGUCUGCAGCGUAGAUCCUUCGGGGUUAGAUACAUUUGUGCUAAGUUAUAGCCUUUCAUAGACAACUUGUUGACUAUGAUCAGUCAUGUAGCUUACUCGCUUAUGCUAUUUUACCUACGCUUAGGAUGUUGAUGUGAUACUGCGAGCA